GCCCGAUUAGCUUGUUGGCGAGGUAACGGCUCACCAAGGCAAUGAUCGGUAGCUGGUCUGAGAGGAUGGCCAGCCACACUGGAACUGAGACACGGUCCAGACUCCUACGGGAGGCAGCAGUGGGGAAUCUUGCGCAAUGGGCGAAAGCCUGACGCAGCGACGCCGCGUGGGGGAUGAAGCUUCUCGGAGUGUAAACCCCUUUCGACCCGGACGAAUGUCCCGCAAGGGAUUGACGGUACGGGUAUAAGAAGCCCCGGCUAACUACGUGCCAGCAGCCGCGGUAAGACGUAGGGGGCCAGCGUUGCUCGGAAUUACUGGGCGUAAAGGGUUCGUAGGCGGUGUGGCAAGUCGGGAGUGAAAUCUCUGGGCUUAACUCAGAGGCUGCUUCCGAAACUGCCGCGCUAGAGUACGGGAUAGGCGAGUGGAAUUGCAGGUGUAGCGGUGAAAUGCGUAGAUAUCUGCAGGAACACCCGUGGCGAAGGCGGCUCGCUGGACCGUAACUGACGCUGAGGAACGAAAGCUAGGGGAGCA
rnacentral:rRNA from 1 species